rnacentral:rRNA from 1 species
UACGGAGGGUGCGAGCGUUGUCCGGAAUCACUGGGCGUAAAGGGCGCGUAGGCGGCCUGAUAAGUAGGGGGUGAAAUCCUGCGGCUUAACCGCAGGGCUGCCUUCUAAACUGUCAGGCUUGAGCACAGUAGAGGCAGGUGGAAUUCCCGGUGUAGCGGUGGAAUGCGUAGAGAUCCGGAAGAACACCGGUGGCGAAGGCGGCCUGCUGGGCAGUAGCUGACGCUGAAGCGCGACAGCGUGGGGAGCAAACAGG